UGGGGAAUUUUGGACAAUGGGCGCAAGCCUGAUCCAGCAAUGCCGCGUGCAGGAUGAAGGCCUUCGGGUUGUAAACUGCUUUUGUACGGAGCGAAAAGGUCUGCCCUAAUACGGUGGGCUCAUGACGGUACCGUAAGAAUAAGCACCGGCUAACUACGUGCCAGCAGCCGCGGUAAUACGUAGGGUGCGAGCGUUAAUCGGAAUUACUGGGCGUAAAGCGUGCGCAGGCGGUGAUAUAAGACAGAGGUGAAAUCCCCGGGCUCAACCUGGGACCUGCAUUUGUGACUGUAUAGCUAGAGUACGGUAGAGGGGGAUGGAAUUCCGCGUGUAGCAGUGAAAUGCGUAGAUAUGCGGAGGAACACCGAUGGCGAAGGCAGCCCCCUGGGCCGAUACUGACGCUCAUGCACGAAAGCGUGGGUAGCAAACA
rnacentral:rRNA from 1 species